rnacentral:lncRNA from 1 species
UGGUACUCUAGUCAACACCUUGCUAAUCUACUGAAAUUGCUGUGGUGGUAAUUUCCAGUGACUUCGAAAGCGCCAAGUCCAAUAAACUUCGUCAGUUUCCACUUCCCACCUUAUUUGACUUAACUGGGGCACUGGAGAUGUUUAAUACCAUGGCUUCUGAGAGGUAUCUCAUGGCUCUUCUCCUCUCUGAUUUGUCCUUCUUUCUCUACUUUACUGGCUUCUAUUCUUUUACGUGUACCUUGAAUGUUGUGUUUUCCUUGGAGGUUGUUCUUGGCUUCCUUCUCUGUUUGUUCUCCAUUCUCUCUCUGGGCAUCUACUUCCCUGUUUUCACCAUGACUCAAUUCUCUACCCAACUCUCCCCUGAGUUCUGAUUAUUGUGUCAAAACUACUCACAGAAUGCUGGUUCCUGGUAUUCCACAGACUGUAAUGCAAUUGAAGGAUUGAAGGUAGGGACUGAACCUCAUGCAUCUGUGAGUUCACAGCAUCUACAAAGCUUGGUGUGCAGUUGUAGGGAUGUAUAUGUGAACUCUUGGUUAGCGGAGUGCAAAAACACUGAAUUUAAAUUUAAAAGAUGAAGCUUAGGUGUUGACUCCAUCAUUUAUCAGCUGUGUGACUUUGGGUCUUGUUCAGUUUGCUGUGUUCUCUACUGCCAUCUGGUGGUCAAGAAGGAUCAAUCACUGCCCUUGCAAUGAAGAACUCUAUGAAAGCGAAGGCUUGGCCAUUUUGUGUUCAGCUCCUUCCAUGAUGACAGAUCAUGUGACAGAUUAGACCUGGAAGCCCAUGAGAAGUGUACGUGGACUCUUUUUCUCCACUUGGAUAUCUUUAUAGUGUACAUUUUCUCAAUCGUGUUCAGACAUUUUCAGAACUUGACAAUCCCAGAGGCAUUUACCCAGGAUGGCAAAUAAGAAAAGAAACAACUUGCUGAAAUGCUGCAACUCCCUCCACUUGUGAAAUAAAAGAACCUGCUGAAAUUGAACCAAGAUGGCCACCAGGAGUUUGGGCAGAAGGAGCUUGUUGAUGUCACAGCCUGAAUUUCCACUGCAUGUUUUAUACUAACUCCCCUCACAUUUGCACAUGAAACCCAUGAAGUAACAUGAAGAAAUAACUGUGCACGCUCAAGUACUUUCCAAACUUCUCCUUUGUUUCCACUAAUUACCCAAUAAUCUCAGAAUCCACCUCCUAACCUUUUCUAAUAAAAAUACUGCCUGAAAGCCAGCAGAGGGAGACAGAUUUGAGCUUGACUCAUGUGUCCUUGAGAGUUG